rnacentral:tRNA from 1 species
GCCGACAUAGCUCAGCUGGUAGAGCAACGGUUUUGUAAACCGUAGGUCGUGGGUUCGAGUCCCACUGUCGGCU